GCACACAGAUGGAGGCCCCCAACCAUAUGUCUAAAUAUUAAAAAGUCAUAACUCACACUAAUGAGCUGUUAAAUAAAAUAGGUUUCUCUGCCUAUCUGGACACACAUUAUCUCCAUAAUGACCUGAAGGAAGGCUCCUAUUCAAAAUUGUCAGCUCCUUGGAAUUUUGCACCAGAGAGAGAGAGAACAUCUUACCCCAUUCCUGACUCCAUCCCAGGCCCAGCCGACACCUUAGUGCACGCGCACCCAAGCUCUGAACAGAGCCCCUCCUCUCUCCUUGCCGGGCAGGGUAAUCUCAGGCCCUCCUUAGUGGCCCCGAGGAUGGCUCUACUCUCCAUCUCUUUUCAGCCCAGCUGCCUGGUAAGUGUUAGAUCGUGCCAUCUGUGGUGGUCUCCUGUCUUGCUCAGAGGAGGUGUCGAAGCCAUCACAAGGGUCUGGAAGGAGCUUAUAUGCCCUAGGACCUCCCCGGGGACCUGAUGAAAAUGCAGAUUCUGAUUGAGGAGGUCUGGAGGGGGCCUGGGCAUCUGCAUUCCUAACAACCGCCCCCCCCCCUCCCUCAGAUGU
rnacentral:lncRNA from 1 species